rnacentral:rRNA from 1 species
UACGUAGGGUGCAAGCGUUAAUCGGAAUUACUGGGCGUAAAGCGUGCGCAGGCGGGUUUGUAAGUCUGUCGUGAAAUCCCCGGGCUCAACCUGGGAAUUGCAUUUGUGACUGCCCGGCUAGAGUGUGUCAGAGGGGGGUAGAAUUCCACGUGUAGCAGUGAAAUGCGUAGAUAUGUGGAGGAAUACCGAUGGCGAAGGCAGCCCCCUGGGAUAACACUGACGCUCAUGCACGAAAGCGUGGGGAGCAAACAGG